CCUACGGGUGGCUGCAGUGGGGAAUAUUGCACAAUGGGGGAAACCCUGAUGCAGCGACGCCGCGUGAGUGAAGAAGUAUUUCGGAACGUAAAGCUCUAUCAGCAGGGAAGAAAAUAAGUCCUUUUGACGUAGGACCGUACCUGACCACGAAGCCCCGGCUAACUACGUGCCAGCAGACGCGGUAAUACGUAGGGGUCAAGCGUUAUCCGGAUUUACUGGGUGGAAAGGGAGCGCAGACGGCAGCACAAGUCUGGAGUGAAAUGCCGGGGCCCAACCCCGGAACUGCUUUGGAAACUGUGCGGCUGGAGUGCAGGAGAGGUAAGCGGAAUUCCUGGUGUAGGGGUAAAAUGCGUAGAUAUUAAGAGGAACACCAGUGGCGAAGGCGGCUUACUGGACUGUAACUGACGUUGAUGCGCGAAAGCGUGGGGAGCAAACAGGAUUAGAUACCCCUGUAGUC
rnacentral:rRNA from 1 species